rnacentral:rRNA from 1 species
UACGUAGGGUGCGAGCGUUGUCCGGAAUUAUUGGGCGUCAAGAGCUUGUAGGCGGUUUGUCGCGUCUGCCGUGAAAAUCCGGGGCUCAACCCCGGACUUGCGGUGGGUACGGGCAGACUAGAGUGUGGUAGGGGAGACUGGAAUUCCUGGUGUAGCGGUGAAAUGCGCAGAUAUCAGGAGGAACACCGAUGGCGAAGGCAGGUCUCUGGGCCACUACUGACGCUGAGAAGCGAAAGCGUGGGGAGCGAACAGG